rnacentral:sRNA from 1 species
GCCCGCGACCUCAAGGCGGCUGCCCCGCGCCAUGGCGGCCCGGCUGGGUGCGCUGGCCGCGUCGGGGCUGUACCGGCGGCGCCAGCACCGGCAGAGCCCGCCGCCCGCCGCGGGCAAUAUGUCGGACGCCUUGGCCAAUGCCGUGUGCCAGCGCUGCCAGGCCCGCUUCGCCCCCGCCGAGCGCAUUGUCAACAGCAAUGGGGAGCUGUACCAUGAGCAGUGCUUCGUGUGUGCCCAGUGCUUCCGGCCCUUCCCCGAGGGGCUCUUCUAUGAGUUUGAAGGCCGGAAGUACUGCGAACACGACUUCCAAAUGCUGUUUGCUCCGUGCUGCGGAUCCUGCGGUAAGGCCGGUGGUGACAGUGCACAUCCUGGGCUGCCUGGGAAGUGGGCAGCAGUGGCGGGGGGCAGGGGACCGAGGGGGCACACAGAACUGGCCCAGCUCUUUCCUAACUGCCCACCUUGCCUCUCUGAGCGGCAACCCUCAGGCCCCCUACAGGCAUCACCAUCCCAUGAGGGAGCCCAUGGGCCAGGUAGAGAGCAGGUGGAGUGCUAGGUGGACGGGGCUUUGGAGGGUACAAAGAGGGGAUGGGCACGCGCCCUCUGGCCAGCAGGGACCUGUCCUCUUCCAGGUGAGUUCAUCAUCGGCCGUGUCAUCAAGGCCAUGAACAACAACUGGCACCCGGGCUGCUUCCGCUGCGAGCUGUGUGAUGUGGAGCUGGCUGACCUGGGCUUUGUGAAGAAUGCUGGCAGGCAUCUCUGCCGGCCUUGCCACAACCGUGAGAAGGCCAAGGGCCUGGGCAAGUACAUCUGCCAGCGGUGCCACCUGGUCAUCGAUGAGCAGCCCCUCAUGUUCAGGAGCGACGCUUACCACCCUGAUCACUUCAGCUGCACCCACUGUGGGAAGGAGCUGACGGCCGAGGCCCGCGAGCUGAAGGGUGAGCUCUACUGCCUGCCCUGCCAUGACAAGAUGGGCGUCCCCAUCUGUGGGGCCUGCCGCCGGCCCAUUGAAGGCCGAGUGGUCAACGCGCUGGGCAAGCAGUGGCAUGUGGAGCACUUUGUCUGCGCCAAGUGUGAGAAGCCAUUCCUGGGGCACCGGCACUAUGAGAAGAAGGGCCUGGCCUACUGUGAGACUCACUACAACCAGCUCUUCGGGGACGUCUGCUACAACUGCAGCCAUGUGAUUGAAGGCGAUGUGGUUUCGGCCCUCAACAAGGCCUGGUGUGUGAGCUGCUUCUCCUGCUCCACCUGCAACAGCAAGCUCACCCUGAAGAACAAGUUUGUGGAGUUCGACAUGAAGCCCGUGUGUAAGAGGUGCUACGAGAAGUUCCCGCUGGAGCUGAAGAAGCGGCUGAAGAAGCUGUCAGAGCUGACCUCCCGCAAGGCCCAGCCCAAGGCCGCGGACCUCAACUCUGCCUGAAGGCCCUCUUGCGCAGCCGCCUCUCGGCCCCUCCGCCUUCUCCCCUCCCGCUGUCCAUGCUUGGCCCCCUCGUCCCCGUCCACCUGCGCCCUCUGCAUCUUACGCUCCCCUUCUCUUUCUUCAUUGCCUCCCCCUUUCCUGUUCCCUCAUCUCUGCCUUCCCCCUGUCUCUCCUCUCCUCGGCUGUGGUUUCUGUCUGUGAGGAGGCAGGAGCUGGGGAGUGGGAGCCUAUGACCCCACGUCUGACAGCCACGUCCACCUGUGCCCACAGUUUCUGCCAACAGACCUCCAGGGACAGAAGCAAAUUGCACCACAGCUCCCUGCCUGGCCUGGCCCUCCCCAGGCAGCUCAGUGGCUCAUGCUGUCCUGUGAGAGCCCCUGCCCCAGAGCGGCCCCACUAAGCGCAUGUGGCUCCUGGACUACCUACAGCCAGGGCAGCCUGCUGGAGCCACAGGGCCAGGACCAUGCAGAUGGAGGCCUCUGGGAGCCACCUCCAGUCCCUCACCACUCACUCAACCAGGGGCACAGUGUCCCUGUUCCCACACUGAGCCAGCAAGUCCUGCUGUCCACACCCACAAGCUACCUGGAGGGACAGGACCCACCUCCAUCCCUCGGAAGGUCUUCCUGGAACCCCACCUUGGCCUCCCACCUGGGUUCCGCCCCGCCCCCUCCCCCCGACCUUGGGGCUUGUGUUGAGCCCUUGGGUGGGGCCAGGGGCCAGGAGGUGGUGAGGUCAGAGGAGGUGGGGUCAGAGGUGGCUUUUUCCCACCUCCAGGGAGGACGCUUCCUCUGCGGCCAGCGCAGACCUGGUGUUGGGCUCACGCUUGCACAAUGAAGGCUUCUUCACACAA